rnacentral:rRNA from 1 species
AUUAAACGCUGGCGGCAGGCCUAACACAUGCAAGUCGAACGAGUGGCGGACGGGUGAGUAAUGUCUGGGAAACUGCCUGAUGGAGGGGGAUAAAUACUGGAAACGGUAGCUAAUACCGCAUACCAUCAGAUGGGCCCAGAUGGGAUUAGCUUGUGGGUGGGGUAACGGCUCACCAAGGCGACGAGCCCUAGCUGGUCGGAGAGGAUGACGAGCCACCCUGGAACUGGGACACGGUCCAGACUCCUACGGGAGGCAGCAGUGGGGAAUAUUGCACAAUGGGCGCAAGCCUGAUACAGCCAUGCCGCGUGUAUGAAGAAGGCCUUCGGGUUGUAAAGUACUUUCAGCUGUGAGGCGUUACCCGCAGAAGAAGCGCCGGCUAACUCCGUGCCAGCAGCCGCGGUAAUUC